UGGCAUGGCAGUUUUGGACAAACUGCUCUAGAAUCUGGAGCAUAAGUCUCAACGCCCUGACUUUUUAUAGUUCCUCAGAUCUAAAAAUUCAUACGGACGGAAAUGGACAGAUCGCGGUUUUUAUUAUUUUACGAAAAUUGAAGCAGUAGUCAACCUGCGCUGCAUAUAGGCUUAGUCCCAACUAGCACUUAAGGUUCGCGAUGUUCCCAAGUUCAUACAAUCGGGCAGACGGACAAAAGACCAUGGGAAAGCACGACUCGUUUUGUAAUCAUAGACUACAGAGAACUCAUAUACACCCACUUACAAAAAAUCCAAUUUAAUUUUUCGCUGCUCAAGUCACAAAACUAUUGACAAUGAAGACAAACCCGGAUCAAAUAAAACCACAAGGUCCACCCAAAUAAUACGCCUCUAAGAGAAGGAAUUGAACAACAUUGUAAAUGAACCAACACCACC